AUUGAACGCUGGCGGCAGGUCGAACACAUGCAAGUCGAUUGAGCGGCGGACGGGUGAGUAAUGUCUGGGGAUCUGCCCGAUAGAGGGGGACAACUACUGGCAACGGUGGCUAAUACCGCAUACUAUCGGAUGAACCCAUAUUGGAUUAGCUAGUAGGUGGGGUAAAGGCUCACCUAGGCGACGAUCUCUAGCUGGUCUGAGAGGAUGAUCAGCCACACUGGGACUGAGACACGGCCCAGACUCCUACGGGAGGCAGCCGUGGGGAAUAUUGCACAAUGGGCGAAAGCCUGAUGCAGGCAAGCCGCGUGUAUGAGGAAGGCCGUAGGGUUGUAAAGGACUUAGAGCGAGGGAGCGUUACCCGAGGAAGAAGCCCCGGCUAACGCCGUGCCAGCAGCCGCGGUAAUUC
rnacentral:rRNA from 1 species